AACGAACGCUGGCGGCAUGCCUAACACAUGCAAGUCGAACGAGACCUUCGGGUCUAGUGGCGCACGGGUGCGUAACGCGUGGGAACCUGCCCUUAGGUUCGGAAUAACUCCCCGAAAGGGGUGCUAUUACGGGAUAAUGUUUUCGGACCAAAGAUUUUUGGCCUUUGGAUGGGCCCCCUUUGGAUUACCUAUUUGGUAGGUUAAAAGCCUACCAAGGCGACGAUCCAUAGCUGGUCUGAGAGGAUGAUCAGCCACACUGGGACUGAGAAACGGCCCAGACUCCUACGGGAGGCAGCAGUGGGGAAUAUUGGACAAUGGGCGAAAGCCUGAUCCAGCAAUGACGCGUGAGUGAUGAAGGCCUUAGGGUUGUAAAGCUCUUUUAACCGGGAUGAUAAUGACAGUACCGGGAGAAUAAGCUCCGGCUAACUCCGUG
rnacentral:rRNA from 1 species